UUUGUAAUAACUAUUACAGAGAACACACAUUACAAGAGACAGAUCUAACCAUAACUAGGUUUUUGUUGUUAUUAUUAAUACUGUUUUGAUUGAAGAAAUAAACAACUUAUUAAUUAUAUUUUUGUGACAUACUUUGAUUGAGAGCUCCGGCAGAUAAAAGAGAGAAAUGGCAGACCAAGAGGCCAAAAAUCUUAUCAUGAAUUAUGUGGUUAUUCUUCUAUUGCUUUUAAUUCUUUGGUUUCUAUACACUGGACUAUAAUAAAUUAAUAAUUUAAUUGAUUCGUAAUUUGAAAACCAAUGCCGGAAAAAGAGACCCAAAGUUUAUUUGUUAAUUAUCUCAUUUUAAUCCUUUUACUACUUAUACUAUGGAUUAUAUACUUUGGUCUUUGAUGUAGUCAUAGUAUUGUUGAAGACAUCUGAAGACAGGC